GGGCGUCUCUUUCUCAUUACGAGUGGAGGCGCACCCAGAGCGUACACGCUGAUACCCGAAAGAUGGUGAACUAUGCCUGGCCAGGACGAAGCCAGGGGAAACCCUGGUGGAGGUCCGCAGCGAUUCUGACGUGCAAAUCGAUCGUCGGAGCUGGGUAUAGGGGCGAAAGACCAAUCGAACCAUCUAGUAGCUGGUUCCCUCCGAAGUUUCCCUCAGGAUAGCUUGCGCUCAUGGGAACGAGUCUCAUCCGGUAGAGCGAAUGAUUAGAGGCCUUGGGGUCGAAACGACCUCAACCUAUUCUCAAACUCCAAAUAGAUGAGAACUCCGGCUUCCUUGAAAAAUGAAGCCGGGGGCUUGGAUCAGAGUGCCAAGUGGGCCGAUUUU
rnacentral:rRNA from 1 species